rnacentral:rRNA from 1 species
UACACUCCUGCGGGAGGCAGCAGUGGGGAAUUUUGGACAAUGGGCGAAAGCCUGAUCCAGCAAUGCCGCGUGAGUGAAGAAGGCCUUCGGGUUGUAAAGCUCUUUUGUCAGGGAAGAAACGGUGAAAGCUAAUAUCUUUUGCUAAUGACGGUACCUGAAGAAUAAGCACCGGCUAACUACAUGCCAGCAGCCGCGGUAAUACGUAGGGUGCAAGCGUUAAUCGGAAUUACUGGGCGUAAAGCGUGCGCAGGCGGUUUUGUAAGUCUGAUGUGAAAUCCCCGGGCUCAACCUGGGAAUUGCAUUGGAGACUGCAAGGCUAGAAUCUGGCAGAGGGGGGUAGAAUUCCACGUGUAGCAGUGAAAUGCGUAGAUAUGUGGAGGAACACCGAUGGCGAAGGCAGCCCCCUGGGUCAAGAUUGACGCUCAUGCACGAAAGCGUGGGGAGCAAACAGGAUUAGAUACCCGGGUAGUCCCAUGAU